rnacentral:tRNA from 1 species
AUACCGUUAGCUCAAUGGGACAGAGCAAUUGCCUUCUAAGCAAUAGGUUACUGGUUCGAACCCAGUACGGUAUGCCA